rnacentral:rRNA from 1 species
GAUGAACGCUAGCGGCAGGCCUAACACAUGCAAGUCGAGGGGCAGCGCGGGUAGCAAUACCUGGCGGCGACCGGCGCACGGGUGAGUAACGCGUAUGCAACCUGCCCGCCACAGGGGGAUAGCCCGCCGAAAGGCGGAUUAAUACCCCAUCGCCCCACGUUCCGGCAUCGGGAUGUGGGUAAAGGAGCGAUCCGGUGGCGGAUGGGCAUGCGUGCCAUUAGCUAGCUGGCGGGGUAACGGCCCACCAGGGCGACGAUGGCUAGGGGGUCUGAGAGGAUGGUCCCCCACACUGGUACUGAGACACGGACCAGACUCCUACGGGAGGCAGCAGUGAGGAAUAUUGGUCAAUGGGCGGAAGCCUGAACCAGCCAUGCCGCGUGCAGGAAGACGGCCCUACGGGUUGUAAACUGCUUUUCCGGGGGAAGAAUAAGGCCCACGUGUGGGCCGAUGCCGGUACCCCGGGAAUAAGGAUCGGCUAACUCCGUGCCAGCAGCCGCGGUAAGUGACGUC